UUCGUGUUGAAUCCUGUAAGCAUAAUGGGUCGUCUAAGUCGUACUAUCUACGUUGGAAAUCUUCCUGGUGAUAUUCGGGAGAGAGAAGUAGAAGAUUUGUUUUACAAGUAUGGGCCCAUUGUGGAAAUUGAUUUGAAAGUUCCUCCUAGACCACCUGGUUAUGCGUUUGUUGAGUUUGAAGAUGAACGUGAUGCUGAUGAUGCCAUCCGUGGCCGUGAUGGCUAUGACUUUGACGGACAUCGUUUGCGAGUUGAACUUGCACACGGGGGGCGAGGAUCAUCAUCGUCAUCAUAUUUUGAUCGCCGCAGCAGUUACAGUAGUGGGAGUCGUGGUGGACUUUCUCGGCGCUCAGACUAUCGUGUUCUGGUCUCUGGACUACCAUCUUCUGCUUCAUGGCAGGAUUUGAAGGAUCACAUGCGACGAGCUGGAGAUGUCUGUUUCUCUCAAGUUUUCCGAGAUCGUGACGGUAUGAGAGGGAUUGUGGACUAUACCAACUAUGAUGAUAUGAAAUAUGCGAUAAAGAAACUUGAUGACUCCCUGUUCCGCAAUCAAUUCUCUCGAGCAUAUAUUAGGGUGGACAAGUAUGAUAAGAGGCGUAGCUAUUCCAGGAGUCCAAGUCCAUAUUAUUCAAGAGGCAGAAGUUACUCAAGAAGCAGGAGUCCUCGGCGAAGCUAUAGCAGCCAGAGCAGAAGUGUGUCUCCUAGGGGAAGAUAUUCUCGUCGCUCUGUGUCUGUCUCGCCCUCAAGGUCUUUUUCCCCUGCUCGCUCUAUUUCAAGAUUUGGCUUCCGCGGCGAUCUGGGGAUUGCUAUAUAGACAGGUGAUGGUUAAUGGUGCUUAAAUUCAGACAACUCGUUUGGUUGUGGCCGUAACCUGAUUUAGUGGAGGAGCACCUCUGGCAAACUCUGGAUGGUAAAUUGCAUUUUAAUAUGUUAUUAAGGUGGAUCUAACUCACAGCACUAUAUCAUAUUGUUUUUUGGGCUAAUCUUGAGGGCUCUGAACUUGGGAACACAAUUAAAUAGACAAAUAAUAAUUAUUUGGGUUUUUAGAGCGUGGGGGAUGGAACAGGCAUUUGUAUUGGUAGGGCUCUCCUAACUUGGACAGACAAUCUCCAUGAAGUGUGUUGCAGAUGUUCUUUUUUUUUUUUUCCUUUUCAAUUUUAUCCCAUUGGUUGAUUGGUGUUAGAGAUCGCGGCAGCUGUUGCGAACUAGGAUUGUGGACGUGGAAGUAGCAUGGAUUCGUUUGGAUCAAAGGUUGUUCUGGAACCUUUUGGCCACAGAAUUUUGCUGAUAUUAACUAGAAUUGUUUCUGGGGUUUUUGCAGAUCUCUAUCAAGAUCCAGAUCUCCACUUUCACCUCCACCUCGCCGGAGGUACUCAAGGAGCCGUAGCAGGAGUCUGUCCUAUUCUCGUUCUUCGGAGUCCUACUGAGACUUUUAACAGAAACAAAGGGCAGCUUGUAGCCAAAAUAAAGUACUAUGCAGACUUGCUGGAUAUUAAGGAACUGGCUUUUAGAGCAAUGUUUACUGUAGUUAAGUUCUUCCGUUGUUGUAACAUUUGAAUUCUAGCUUAGCUGGUUGCACGUUUUAGAAACUUGUUCUAGGUUAAUUACCAUGUAUGUUUUCGUGCUGCUAAGUGAAACUUGAGGACGUAUAUCUGUUUUCAUUUGAUCUGUGAUUGUCACUGCUAUAAACAUGCCACCUAUUAUCCAA